CGCGACCCCAGGUCAGGCGGGACUACCCGCUGAGUUUAAGCAUAUAAAUAAGCGGAGGAGAAGAAACUUACGAGGAUUCCCCUAGUAACGGCGAGCGAACCGGGAGAUGCCCAGCUUGAGAAUCGGGCGGCCGCGCCGUCCGAAUUGUAGUCUGGAGAGGCGUCCUCAGCGACGGACCGGGCCCAAGUCCCCUAGAAAGGGGCGCCUGGGAGGGUGAGAGCCCCGUCCGGCCCGGACCCUGUCGCCCCACGAGGCGCCGUCAACGAGUCGGGUUGUUUGGGAAUGCAGCCCAAAUCGGGCGGUAAACUCCGUCCAAGGCUAAAUACAGGCGAGAGACCGAUAGCGAACAAGUACCGCGAGGGAAAGA
rnacentral:rRNA from 1 species